rnacentral:lncRNA from 1 species
CCAUUCAGGGGAUUUGUUUUAUUUAACUACGCAAGGCUAUUUCAAGAAAUUUGCUUCUCUCUCUCUCUCUCUUUUUCCAGUGAAGUAGGACGGUCCACUGCCUCAUUUCAUCCUUACACCACGCCAGGUGGUGGGGGAGGAAAAGGGAGUGAGAGCUGCUCUUCUGGAAUAACCUGGGAAAAGAGAAGAUCUGAUGCAAAAUGUGAAGUCUUUGCUGCAGAAAGAGCACGUUGGAUUCUGGGUCUGCUGCUCCUAAUGUUGUUUCCCGUAAUUAGGGAAAGCUCUGAGUGGGCUUCAGCAAACUGCUUUUUCCUUCCAACUCUAGCUCUGUUUCCUUGGAAAACAGCCAAGAGCCACCUGUUUGGCUCGGAAUGAAUGGCCUGCUUAUGGAUCCUUGGAACUUUGCUCUCUAAAUUAACUUCUGCCUAAAUUCUAGCUGUCUUGGAUUCAUGCAUCGAGGCACCUUAGGAAAUCCCUCUGACGUGCUUUCCCACCAAAGAAGUUGCUGUUGUGGCCCGUAUUAGUCAAAGUGACAAGGGACAAGUUUGGCUCUUUCACACGUCUGUACUUUAUUUCUGCAAAAAUGAUUUGGGACCGACACCUUCGUUGGCUCAAAAAUCACUGCAGCCUACAACGCAAAAGUAACAAAGCUGUUUCCGGCUUCCCUGGCUUCCUUCAAGUCUCAGCUAAAGCUCACCUUCUGCAAGAAACCUUUCUGGGUCUGCCUUACUGCCUGUGCUUCUUUCUGAGAUAACCUCCAAUUUAUUCUGUAUGUAUUUGGUAUUUGCAGAUUGUAUCCUCCAUUAGAUUGUAAGCUCCCUGACAGCAGGGAUUGUUUUUCCUUUUUUAUGCCCUGAGUUUAGUACAGAGUCUAGCAUGUAUCAGGUGAUUAAGAAAUGCUCGGCUUGCCUUAACUUGAAUAGCAAGUACCCAUGGUCCCUGCCACCCACAAUAUAGCACUGCUAUUAAGUGAUAACACUGGGAUUAGAACAACAGACCAUUGACAGUGCCCCUUCCUUUAUACCAAGGGUUCUUAACCUUUUUUACAGUUACUAAUUUUUCUUUUUUUUUGGUGAGGCAAUCAGGGUUAAGUGACUUGCCCAGGGUCAUACAGCUAAUAAGUGUCAAAUGUCUGAGGUCGGAUUAAACUCAGGUCCUCCUGGCUCCACAGCCAGUGCUCUAUCCACUAUACCACUUAGCUGCCCCCAAAACAUUUUUUAAAAAUAAGUUCACAGACCAGAAGCUCUUCAUCCUCUAUAGCUGGGUGGGACCUGGAGUCAGGAAGACCUGAGUUCAAAUCCAUCCAUCAUCAAACACUUACUAGCACUGUGACCCUGGGCAAGUCACUUAAUCGCUGUCUGCCUCAGUUUCCUUAGCUGCAAAAUGGGGAUAACAAUACCUAUUUCACAGAAUUGUGAGAAUCUAAAUGGAUCUAAACUUUUAGUAAAAAGUUUCCUAAACUGAGUGCCUUCUGAAUAUGUAGUGCUACCCUACUGUCUUUUUUCCAUACUGUUUCUUUACAUAGCUAUAGCUCAGUCAUGAGAGCUAGUAUACUAAAUCUCAUUUAUACCAAUGAAUUUUAAUAUUGAUUUUCCUCUCACAAUACGAUCGCUAAUUCUCCCUAUUUGUAAGCCACACUAGGUACAUUUGUACACAGAAAUCUGAGGCCCAGGCUUUCAUUAGUGGAUUUCUUCUUGGAUACCAUUGCCUAUGAAUAGUGUGGAACAUUUUUGCUUGGCUUUUAACUUGCUAUUCUGUGUUAUAUCGUGAAUGUAAAAAUACUCAUCUCUCUCUAUGGGUUGCUACAAAAUUCUCCUUUCCCUCUAUACUUGUUGAAGUGAGACCCUCAGGCCAUUGUUUUAUUGGUAGCUCUUUGAGCUAACCCUCAUCCUCACUUGCCCCUGAAAACUGUCAUGCUGCUCACACACUGAUGGCUCCUUCUCUGAAGGCUGAAACUUGAUUUACUUGUGGUCAGCUUCCUGCCUUUUUUUUUUUCUGAUAUGACCCUAUCUGCUCAGCUUCCUGUAAUUGGCAACUGAAUGAUUCCUAUGGAAUCCUACCAAUAGAAGCUGCUCCACAAAUAGAAAUGCAAUUAUCAGCAAAGCCUAUCUAAUUAACCCUAAUUACUCACUUAUUUUCUCCAUUCCCUGCUGAACUCCAGAUACCUCCUUACACUGCCUUGGUCUCUUUCUCAUCUUUCACAGUUGGUAAGUGAGGAUUAAUUUAUGCAUAGCCAACUCCCCUCUUUUUCUGAUAAUGGGAUGAGAUUAUAUGCUCCACUACCUUAAUUUUAUUUUUAAUCUUAUUUUUAUUGAUAACUUUUGUUUCUGUAUCUUUUUAAUAUCCAACUGUCUUCCUCCUCCUCCUCCUCCCCUACCCAGACUGUUGUCCCUUGUACUAAAAAAUAAAAAAUAAAGAUAAAGAAACA